GAUGAACGCUGGCGGUAUGCCUAAUACAUGCAAGUCGAGCGAAAACACGAUAAGAUUGUUCUCUUGCGGUUAGCGGGGGACGGGCGAGUGAGAAAUGCAUCGGAUUCUACUAUUUCUGGGGUAAUAACGGAAAGAAGGUGACACUAAUAGCUCAUAUGAUGUACGGGAUAAUUCAAUGGAGCUUGACAGCUUUGCCGUUUCUUAUAGCUGGAUCCGCGUCGGAUUAGCUAGUUGGUAAGGUAACGGCCUACCAAGGCGACGAUGCGUAGCUGAUCUGAGAGGAUGAUCAGCCACACUGGAACUGAGACACGGUCCAGACUCCUACGGGAGGCAGCAGUGGGGAAUCUUGGACAAUGGGCGAAAGCCUGAUGCAGCCAUACCGCGUGGGUGAAGAAGGUCUUCGGGUUGUAAAGCCCUUUUGUUGGGAAAGAAAAGCAGCAGGUUAAUACACCGCUGUUUUGACGGUACCCAAAGAGUAAGCAACGGCUAACUUCGUG
rnacentral:rRNA from 1 species